UCGACCCCGUCCGCAAUCCUCCACGUUAGGA
rnacentral:rRNA from 1 species